rnacentral:misc_RNA from 1 species
CCGCCCAAGGUAGGAUUGAUGAUUAGGGUGAAGUCGUAACAAGGUAUCCGUACGAGAACGUGCGGAUGGAUCACCUCCUUUCUAUGGAGUUAAUACUUUAUAGUAAUUAACUAGUUUUAAUGACAGUUAUGUUUAGUUUUCAGAGAUUAGUUUCUCUGACAAUAGCAAAUAAAUGUUAUUGGAAUUGUUCUUUGAAAACUGGAUAAUAGACAUCUAGUUAUUUUAAUCAAGUGAUUAAAAUAACAAUAAUUCAAAAUUUCUGUUAUUUUUAAAAAAUAACUAAAAUUUCACAGUUAUAUUUGUAAAUAAUUCUCAAAAACUGAUUUAAAAUCAGGUCAAAUAAUUUAUAAAACUUUGAAGUUACAAAGGG